AGAUCUUAGGUUCAGAUCAAUAAACAGCUGAUAUUAUUACCAGUACUCGUAAAAUUUGUUUUCUAUUUCUUUUCUAUCUGAUUUUGUUGAAUUAAGUUUGUGUAGUUGUUUGUUUUUAUUCUCCUACUAUGAUAUAAUUGGAUAAAAAUAUUCUAAUUUAUUGCUGGACUAUAAAAAAUUACAGGUUGUGAGUGAACUGUUUCAACGGCCAACCGUCACCCACUCCAUUCUCUGUUUUCCUUCGGAAGGAACGAAAAGAAAACCGAACGAAAACUGAAAACACUAAGAAUUUGUUAUUAAUUACAAAAAUCAACAAAAAAAUAAGUUAUUCGGGUUGAUUUGUCGUUUUAAAAGAUACACUUUCAUUUGAAAUGGAAAGAAGAUUCUCAUGGGACCAUGAAGAGACGAUUAUUGAGUUUGUCAAAAAUCAUUCAGUUUUGUUUGACAUCAACCAUCCUGAGUACAGAAAUUCAGCGCACAAGCAAAGACUGUGGAGGGAACUUGCAACAAUACUAAACAGAUCAAGUUGUGAGUGAACUGUUUCAACGGCCAACCGUCACCCACUCCAUUCUCUGUUUUCCUUCGGAAGGAACAAAAAGAAAACCGAACGAAAACUGAAAACACUAAGAAUUUGUUAUUAAUUACAAAAAUCAACAAAAAAAUAAGUUAUUCGGGUUGAUUUGUCGUUUUAAAAGAUACACUUUCAUUUGAAAUGGAAAGAAGAUUCUCAUGGGACCAUGAAGAGACGAUUAUUGAGUUUGUCAAAAAUCAUUCAGUUUUGUUUGACAUCAACCAUCCUGAGUACAGAAAUUCAGCGCACAAGCAAAGACUGUGGAGGGAACUUGCAACAAUACUAAACAGAUCAAGUUGUGAGUGAACUGUUUCAACGGCCAACCGUCACCCACUCCAUUCUCUGUUUUCCUUCGGAAGGAACGAAAAGAAAACCGAACGAAAACUGAAAACACUAAGAAUUUGUUAUUAAUUACAAAAAUCAACAAAAAAAUAAGUUAUUCGGGUUGAUUUGUCGUUUUAAAAGAUACACUUUCAUUUGAAAUGGAAAGAAGAUUCUCAUGGGACCAUGAAGAGACGAUUAUUGAGUUUGUCAAAAAUCAUUCAGUUUUGUUUGACAUCAACCAUCCUGAGUACAGAAAUUCAGCGCACAAGCAAAGACUGUGGAGGGAACUUGCAACAAUACUAAACAGA